rnacentral:rRNA from 1 species
CAAUAGCGUAUAUUAAAGUUGUUGCAGUUAAAAGCUCGUAGUUGGAUUUUGGGUCGAGGUCGUUGGUCUGCCUUCGGGUGUGUACUAGCUUCCUCGGCCUUCCUUCUGGGAACCGUCUCUGUUCUUAACUGAAUGGGUUCGGCGUCGCAGAUCUUUUACUUUGAAAAAUUAGAGUGUUCAAAGCAGGCAAUUGCCUUGAAUACAUUAGCAUGGAAUAAUGGAAUAGGACUUUGUUCCUAUUUUGUUGGUUUCUAGGGACAGAGUAAUGAUUAAUAGGGAUAGUUGGGGGCGUUCGUAUUUCAUUGUCAGAGGUGAAAUUCUUGGAUUUAUGAAAGACGAACUUCUGCGAAAGCAUUCGCCAAGGAUGUUUUCAUUAAUCAAGAACGAAAGUUAGGGGAUCGAAGACGAUCAGAUACCAU